AUUUCCUAGUGACUAGGAUUUAUAAAUAUUAAUUAUCUGAAAGAGUGGAAAUGAACAUAUAGUUAUUUUUAGAAUAUACUGUGAUAACAACAACAAAAAAUCCUGCAAAACGGAGCUAGACCAGCGCUGACAUGAAAAUCCAACAGCCACCUGGCGAACUCUGUGUUCCAAGAGGUUUUUAUUUACAGUGUAGGAUGUGACUUUACCUAUAAAAUGCUUUCUGGCUGCCACUCCGUUUGGACGAUUCCGGUUUUGGUCUGCUAACUUAUCAACUGUAUGAUUUGGGCAAGUUCCUAAACUUCUCUGUGCUUCGUUUCUCCCCUUUGUAAAACAGGACUAAAAAUAUUAAAACUCGGCCGGGCGCAGUGGUUUGUCAAAAAGUUAAACAGAGUUACCGCGUGACCCAGCAACUCCAUGCCCAGGUAUGUGCCCCAAAGAACUGAGAAAACAGAUACUCAAACAAAAACGUGUACACGAGUGUUCCCAGCAGCACCAUCCACAAUAGCCAAGAGGCAGAAACAACCCUAAUGUCCAUCAAUGGAAGAAUGGAAAAACAAAAUGUGGUUUAUCCAUACAAUGGAAUUUUAUGCACCCAUAACAAAAAGGAGGUACUACUCCAUGCCACAACAUGAAUGAACCUUGGAAACAUGCUGAGCGAGAGAAUCCAGACACACAAAGCCACGUAUCCUACGAUUCCAAGUAUAAGAAACGCCCAGACUCGGUAAAUCCUGCAGAUGCAAAGUGCAGCACAGCGGCUGCCAGGUGCUAGGGCUUGGGAGCUGGGAAGUGGCUGCUUAGUGGGUGUAGGGUUUCCUUCUAGGGGUGAUGAAAACGCUUCGGAAUUAGACCCAGGGGAUGGUUGCACAACACUGUGAAUGUGCGAUAUGCCACUGAACUGUUCACCUUAAAAAUCAUUAAGUUAUGUGAAUUUAGCUUCAAUUAAAAAUAAAGCAGGCUGGGUACUGUGGCUCACGCCUGUAA
rnacentral:lncRNA from 10 species